rnacentral:rRNA from 1 species
AAGACCUUGCGCUUUUGGAGCGGCCGAUGUCUGAUUAGCUUGUUGGUAAGGUAAAAGCUUACCAAGGCUUCGAUCAGUAGCUGGUCUGAGAGGACGACCAGCCACACUGGGACUGAGACACGGCCCAGACUCCUACGGGAGGCAGCAGUGGGGAAUUUUGGACAAUGGGGGCAACCCUGAUCCAGCCAUGCCGCGUGAGUGAAGAAGGCCUUCGGGUUGUAAAGCUCUUUCAGCCGGAACGAAACGGUUACGGUUAAUACCCGUGACUACUGACGGUACCGGAAGAAGAAGCACCGGCUAACUACGUGCCAGCAGCCGCGGUAAUACGUAGGGUGCGAGCGUUAAUCGGAAUUACUGGGCGUAAAGGGUGCGCAGGCGGUUUUGUAAGUCAGAUGUGAAAUCCCCGAGCUCAACUUGGGAACU